AGUGAACGCUGGCGGUAGGCCUAACACAUGCAAGUCGAACGGCAGCACAGUAAGAGCUUGCUCCUACGGGUGGCGAGUGGCGGACGGGUGAGGAAUACAUCGGAAUCUACUUUUUCGUGGGGGAUAACGUAGGGAAACUUACGCUAAUACCGCAUACGACCUACGGGUGAAAGCAGGGGAUCUUCGGACCUUGCGCGAUUGAAUGAGCCGAUGUCGGAUUAGCUAGUUGGCGGGGUAAAGGCCCACCAAGGCGACGAUCCGUAGCUGGUCUGAGAGGACGAUCAGCCACACUGGAACUGAGACACGGUCCAGACUCCUACGGGAGGCAGCAGUGGGGAAUAUUGGACAAUGGGCGCAAGCCUGAUCCAGCCAUACCGCGUGGGUGAAGAAGGCCUUCGGGUUGUAAAGCCCUUUUGUUGGGAAAGAAAAGCAGCAGGUUAAUACCCCGCUGUUCUGACGGUACCCAAAGAAUAAGCACCGGCUAACUUCGUG
rnacentral:rRNA from 1 species